AAAAAGGGGGGGCUUCUGUCAUGAGUGGCACAUGUAGGGCAGCUUGAUUGCUCUACAUGCGGAAUUGACAUUAAGAGAUUUCGGAAGCAUAAUUUUUUGCUAUCUGGGCAGCUGAUCGUUGGUCCUGGCGCCCAU
rfam:Myotis davidii contig72706, whole genome shotgun sequence.